rnacentral:rRNA from 1 species
AUUGAACGCUGGCGGAAUGCUUUACACAUGCAAGUCGAACGGCGGCACGGACUUCGGUCUGGUGGCGAGUGGCGAACGGGUGAGUAAUACAUCGGAACGUGCCCAAUCGUGGGGGAUAACGUAGCGAAAGCUACGCUAAUACCGCAUACGAUCUAAGGAUGAAAGCGGGGGAUCGCAAGACCUUGCGCGAUUGGAGCGGCCGAUGGCAGAUUAGGUAGUUGGUAGGGUAAAGGCCUACCAAGCCGACGAUCUGUAGCUGGUCUGAGAGGAUGAUCAGCCACACUGGGACUGAGACACGGCCCAGACUCCUACGGGAGGCAGCAGUGGGGAAUGUUGGACAAUGGACGCAAGUCUGAUCCAGCCAUUCCGCGUGCAGGAUGAAGGCCCUCGGGUUGUAAACUGCUUUUGUACAGAACGAAAAGGCUCUGGUUAAUACCUAGGGCUCAUGACGGUACUGUAAGAAUAAGCACCGGCUAACUACGUGCCAGCAGCCGCGGUAA